rnacentral:rRNA from 1 species
UACGUAGGGUGCAAGCGUUGUCCGGAAUUAUUGGGCGUAAAGAGCUCGUAGGCGGUCUGUCACGUCGGCUGUGAAAACCCGAGGCUCAACCUCGGGCCUGCAGUCGAUACGGGCAAACUAGAGUACUGCAGGGGAGACUGGAAUUCCUGGUGUAGCGGUGAAAUGCGCAGAUAUCAGGAGGAACACCGGUGGCGAAGGCGGCAUCCUGGACCAACACUGACACUGAGGAGCGAAAGCCAGGGGAGCAAACGGG